AACAGCAUUGAAAGAAGUCUGAAACUGAUGGUUCCAGCAGAAGGAAAUGGGACAAGUUCAGCCACACAUAAAGCCUGGAGGGGGGAGAACACUGCAUUGCCAGCUCAUCUGGAUUUGGGAAACUGAAGAGCACAGGGUAACACAGUGAGGACACAGACUUGGAACAGUGGGCACUGAAGCACCUUAACCUUCAUGUGUCUUCUGCUGUUCUUAUGGGAAUGUCUCGGUUGAGAAGAAAAACGUCCUUGGCGUCGUGACAAUGCAAACACGUUGGCCCCAGACCCACACUCUGAGCUGCAGUGAAAGGUCACGUCAACAUCUCGGCAUAGAACCUCCGAAUUCCAGGGCCGGGUGACCCCGAGACCCUCAAUCCAAGCCUUUUA